UACGAAGGGGGCUAGCGUUGCUCGGAAUUACUGGGCGUAAAGCGCACGUAGGCGGCUUUCUAAGUCGGGGGUGAAAUCCUGGAGCUCAACUCCAGAACUGCCUUCGAUACUGGAAAGCUCGAGUCCGGGAGAGGUGAGUGGAACUGCGAGUGUAGAGGUGAAAUUCGUAGAUAUUCGCAAGAACACCAGUGGCGAAGGCGGCUC
rnacentral:rRNA from 1 species